GUACGCUGGCGGCACGCCUAACACAUGCAAGUCGAACGAAGUAGCAAUACUUAGUGGCAGACGGGUGAGUAACAUGUGGGUAUCUACCCUAUGGCCUGGAAUAACACGAGGAAACUUGUGCUAAUACUGGAUAAGUCUUUACGGAGAAAGCUUUAUGCACCAUUGGAUGAGCCCGCACUUGAUUAGUUUGUUGGUAGGGUAACGGCCUACCAAGACUUUGAUCAAUAGCUGAUUUGAGAGGAUGAUCAGCCACAUUGGGACUGAGACACGGCCCAAACUCCUACGGGAGGCAGCAGUGGGGAAUCUUGCACAAUGGAGGAAACUCUGAUGCAGCGAUGCCGCGUGAGUGAAGAAGGCCCUUGGGUUGUAAAGCUCUUUCGUCGGGGAAGAAAAUGACUGUACCCGAAUAAGAAGGUCCGGCUAACU
rnacentral:rRNA from 1 species